rnacentral:rRNA from 1 species
GACAGAGGGUGCAAACGUUGUUCGGAAUUACUGGGCGUAAAGAGCGUGUAGGCGGUUCGGAAAGUCGGGUGUGAAAGCCCUGGGCUCAACCCAGGAAGUGCACUCGAAACUCCCGAGCUAGAGUCCUGGAGAGGAAGGCGGAAUUCUCGGUGUAGAGGUGAAAUUGGUAGAUAUCGAGAGGAACAUCGGUGGCGAAGGCGGCCUUCUGGACUGCAACUGACACUGAGGAACGAAAGCCAGGGGAGCAAACGGG